CAGAGCCAGCACAAUUCAAACACAGCCCUGGCCAAUCAGCAUCUCCUCAUAGAGAUACAUUGAAUCAAGGUAUCUCUAUGAGGAAAGUUCAGUGUCUGCAUGCAGAGGGAGGAGACACUGAAUGUCAGUCACACUGUGCAGCAAUGCCCCAGGAAGCACCUCUAACAGCCAUCUGAGGAGUGGCCAGUGGAGGUAUCUGAAAAGACAGUGUUUACAGCAAAAAGCCUGGAGGUAAUGAUUCUACUCACCAGAACAAAUUUGUUCUGGUGACCUUUAACCUUAUCUCAUUUAAAGGGGCACUGUCACUUAAGUUCUUCCAUGAUGUAAGCUUAAUGAAAAAAAGAAACCCCUUACUGAAAAUUCCAAUACAACCAGAUAAAUUACAGCAGGGGUUGCUUUUUCUUAAAUACGCACUGACUUUUGUCAAAAGGCAAAUGUUCAAUCAGCUGCGAGCAAACCUG